UCUACGGAGUACCACUUGAAUUAUUUCGCGAGUGUGCGCAUCCCUUAUUCUAACGAUAGAUGGUUUGUUUACAGUCUAAUUAACCUGUACAAUUCUUUGAUUUUUUGAAGAUGUUAUGAGGUGACUUAAAUAGUUGUGAUUGUAUCAGGGAGGUUCACGUUAGCGAUUUAAGGAAAAUCAGUCAUAACGUCUCCUGGACUGAACAACAAAAAGGGGCUCUAAAACCACAUCGAGAUGCCCUGAGCUCGAUGCGACAAACACAAAGGAACGUGAUCUCUGAAAUUCCCACAAAAGUUGUUCAAAAUUUGUAGGGGAACGGUAUGAAACACUCGGGAAAUACCCGUACCUCGUAGCUCCUUCACGGUAAAACGAUACAACAUCGAAAUUUAACAGAAAGGAAAAGAACACUAAUCCAGCUCCCUCUUAAAGCUGUGGUUAACGAUAAACUACUAAAGAACUUAAUAAAAUAAUACAGUUUGACGAAACAUAUUGAGCGCUCGAUGUUGUUGCACCAACGAUGGAAAGUACCCAGGCAAUAAGUGAGGCUCCAAAACGCCCCUCACUCCAGCGAAAUAACCUUUUGAAAUCUAAUUACUCGAAAAUAAAUAUAAUAACAUUGUAAAUGUUACAAAGUUUAAGACUUGUUGAGUCUAAUUCGAAGAAUAAAAUGUUAUUAUUAUUAAGGAUCUUACAAUGUGUUUUAUCCGCGCAAAGGUUUGACGUUUGUCAAAUUAAUUUUUAAAAUAGAAAUACUAUAUUAGGUCCGACUUCGGUUACAGUAAAUUUGUUCUCGGCGCCGAAUAAAUAAGAAACCAUUGAAACCAACCAUAUGUUCUCUUUUAAUUUAAAGAUCAAUGUAGAAAAUGCAGUUUAUUUUUGUUACGGGUCUUACGGUGUUUUCAUAAGACCUAUAGGUUUUAUUGAUAUCAUAAGAGGUCUCCUAGUAGCAAUAUUAUGAUCUAAUAAUAGACUGGUUAUAGAUAAAAA